CAGAAACCCCUGAUAAACCCAUCAGUUUUCAUGAGACUUAUUCACUAUCACGAGAAUAGCAUGGGAAAGACUAGCUCCCAUGAUUAUUACCUCCCCCUGGUUCUCUCCCAUAACGUGGGAAUUCUGGGAGAUACAAUUCAAGUUGAGAUUUGGGUGGGGACACAGCCAAACCAUAUCACUGACUUAUUUCACUUAAGACAAUAUUUCCAGUUUCAUCUUUGAUGCUGCAAAAGAUGUGAUUCUGUUCUUUUUUUAUGGCUGAAUAUACACUACAUUUUCUUUAUCCAACCAUCUGGUGAUGGAUACUUAAGUUGAUUCCUUAUCUUUGCUACAGUUCAGUGAUUUUUAAAGUAAACUUACAGAGUUGGGAAAUCAUCAUCAUAAUCCACUUGGAACAUUUUUAUCUCUGCAACAAGAUGUGUCCAUUUGUAGUCACAACUUGUUCCCACCACAACCCCCAGGCUGCCAGGAAUCUACUUUCUGUUUCUAUACAUUUUUUCUGGGCAUUUUAUAAAAAUGGAAUCAUGAAGUCUUUUGUGUCUGGCUUCUUUCACAGUAUAAUCUUUUUGAGAGUCAUCUGUAGUACUUGUGUUUCCUCUUAUUGUUGAAUAGCAGCCCAUUGUAUGGGCAUACUGUACUUUGUCUAUGCAUUCACCAGUUGGUGGACACUUGAAUUGUUUCCACAUUUUGGCAACUAUGAAUAAUGCUGCUAUGGACAUUCGUGUACAAGUGCUCGUGUAGACAUAUUAAUAUGUAAUCUUGUUCUAAAAGUCUAAAAUUCUAAGAAUUUAUCGAACUUGUGAAGAGAAUGACUAUUGAAACUAGCCUUGGUUCUUAUCCUUUGGAUGUGACUACAUUUUUGUCAGAAUGUCAUGAAGAAGCAUAAUUAUUUAUAUCCAAGAUAGAAUUUAACUUUCAAUUAAAAAAUGUUAAAGUUGAUUUUUAAUAAAAUACUUGGACAAAAGUAGAUCAGGGAUUAGGUUGAUUGCUUUUAAAUUUUAGUGUAAAAUUUCAAGAAAGGUUAGACUAGAUUCCAGUGGCUGCAAUGCUGCACAGCUAUAGGCCGCAUCCUCUCAUUGGAGUUGUGUGUGCAGGUGUGCCCUUCAUGUGGGAUGCAGUGGGAAUGGUGCCGUCCAGAGCUGUGUGUGAACAGGUGUCCAUACUGCUAGUCUUUGAGUCUGGGUAAUCUCCACUCUGUCCCUGGAGGGUGGGCCUGUUCUGCUUCUAGAGGUCAAUGCCAAGUCAGAAAGGGAGUCAAGGCCCAGAAUGCCACUCUGCAGACUACUAUAGUUCCAGACUCUAGGGAGUCCUGGGCAGGGGGCUUAUCUUAAACCAAAGGAAUUUCAGACUAGAAUUGUAGAUGGUGCCCUUGAAGAGCUGAUGGGACAGAUUGAAAGUCCUGACUCCCAGCUAAAGCAGUAUCCUACACACCCUCCCAUCUGGAGAGAUCUUGGGCUAGAUGCCCCCAGUCUAACUGAGACGCUGACUUUGGAGGGUUGUUCCAGCCUUGCAAUAGUAGUACCUUUUUGUUUAGGUGGGAGUGGAUUAGAACAGUGGGUAAAGUUUUGGGGUGAAAGAAGCCAACUGGGACAUAUGUCUUAGGGGGACACAGGCUUUGUCCAUCCUUUCUCUAAAAGUACUGGGCUGAACCCUCUCAGCAGAGAGUUGUGGAAAAUUAGAGACGUUCUGUGGAAAGACCAAGUUAAUGUUCAAGUCUCAGAAUCUGAUCUUAGGUCAAAUAUCUCUUGCUUUUGCCAGUAAAAAGAGCCCAGAUGUUUUUCUAUUUACUUAGGCAAACCCUUGAAACACAAGUUAGUCAUAUAAAACUUUACAUUUGCAAUGUUAAGAGCCCAUAUUUGGAAAGUCACAAGCAUAAAAUAUAUACUGUGAAAUGGGAGGUCAGGACGGUGAACUCAUUUCAGAACCAUAGUUUUGACUCAAGAAUUUUGAUGGGGUCUUCACGUUGGUUGAGCUUCUUGGUCCUAAUAUCAUUGAGAGAAUUAAAUCAUGAUAUUAAAACAUUGAAACACUAAUGCUUUGUUUUUAUUGGCAAGAACCAAAAUGAUCUAAUACUAAUGCCACGAAACAUCAGUCACUUUUUUCCUGAUGAAUAAGAUGAACUUUGGCUGCUUAUGAUAGUAAAUUUAAUAAUGUCAGUGAUUUGAACUGUUUCAGUUCUAAAUGUGCAGAAAUGUGUUUUACUGCAUCUCUCUCUCUCUCUCUCUCUCUCACACACACACACACACACACACACACACACUACUUCUGUCAGGAAGUUUUGUGGCAAAUGAGCCCAAAUGCAUAGAUUAGAGCAUAUCAUUCACAUGUGCCAUGUGUGUGCCAAAGUGUGCGUACCCACUGCUAGACUUCCUCUCACAGGUGGUCUGAAUUUGCUUCUAGCUGGUCCUGUAAGCAGAUUUAAUAUUUCAUAAGCACUGCUCCAUCUCAUGCCUCCAUUAUUGACACCACAUGGAAGUCAGGAAAUUGGUUCUUUCUGGGAACAGUUUGCAGAAAUAUGCAGCCUGUCAGCCCCUUUCUCAUGGGUGCAUUAACAGAGCAGCUCACGAUUACAAGUAACGAACCUUCUCCAGAUGUGUGUAGCAACUCAGCUCCAACUUUAUCUUCGGCCCUGAAGAUGGACUUGGCAAGAUGGAUUAUUUGUGGCUGUAUUGUAAUAACUUUGUGAAAUUGGAAUUCCCAGUGAUUGUAAUGGAGGGUGAGGAAGCGGCAGCAGAGGAACAGAUAAUUUCUCCUUGCAGUAAACAACGAAAAGACCAACAACAAUAAAAAGGGCAAAUCAGCUGUGGCAUUUUCCUGCUUUGGACACCGACUCUUCCAGACUGUUCUAAUUCUUUCCCUUUUAUGAUUCUGUUUAUGUUACACACAUUAAAGUUAAGUCAUGUCUUAAAUAAGAUGGAAACUGGAAGUGAGAUUUGGAAAUGACUGAAUCAGGCUUCUUAACUUUUUUCUUCUCUUGGAGAGCUCAAAAACAACGGACAGAAAGGGAUAUACCAAAGAAAACAAUAUUAAUUGUCGGCUUCCAUGGAAAAUUCAAUCCAGUCUUUCAUUCAUUCUCUUCCCAGUGCAGUGCCAGCAGACUUCUCUCUAUAUGGCUAAGGGCUUAAUUUAGCUGACAAAUUUCUGAAGGAUAACUAAGCUUUCAGAAAGAAAGAUUCUAGCUAUAAAUGAAGCAUGUGUGCUCUCUCAGUCACAAAAGACAGAUUUUUCCAGGAUAAAGUAAUUUGGGGUAAAUUUCUCCUGUAUUUUAUUAGCAGUGAUGAUUUCAAGGGAGUAUUCUUUUAAAGCAAGGCAGUAUUUAAAUCUUUCUUUUAAAUCACAAGUCCCUUGAGUUGAUAGUUAUAAAACUGGGUUCCACUGGGAGUUAUUUGUACAUCUUCAAGGUUGGCACCCUUAGUUGUUUGAUGUAGAUGUUCUAGAUAAAAUUCCUAAAGUCCAGCUGUUAUGAUUUAGCUUAAUAUGUUUGUACAGAGGGGUUUCCUUUGUCAUUGAAGAGAUAGAGUCAAAACAGAAUUAGUCAUUCUUGCAUCUUCUAUUUAUAGCCCACUAUUAUUCUGAUGCAUUGUCAAAGAAUGAAGUGGACAAGAAUUUUUCUUCCUUUCUUUCUUUUUUUUGUGUAAACAAAACUCUUUUUAUACUCUGUGGAUUUAACUUUGGUUGCUAACUUAGUCAGACAAGGCACUUAACAAAAAUAUUACUUCUUAAAUGAAAAAUUACCUAUUAAGUCAUCCCAUCUUCAUUUGCAAAUUAAAGGUUUGUCAGUACAAAGUAUGUGGGAUGACCAGAAGUCAUGGAUGACUUACACUGAAGUGGCAAGGGUAGAAAAGUAGAGAGCUGACUUUAGAGGGAUCAAGAAUAGCUUGCUGGAUGGAAGGAGCUUGGGGCCAGUCAUCAUCUUAAAGGCUCUGUGGCAGCUUGGACUUGAAGUAGGGUGCACCCGGAAUUGACCAAUACAAACAGUGGACUGCACUGGAUUCUUCUUGUGCCCUGUCUCAUAUCCUCUUGUCCCACCUUUUCAUAACAGCCAUUGCCAUGGGAACCAGCUGCAUCCAGGUACGACCUGACAGCACCCUGCUUCACUGUCAUGGUGCUCCUGCAGCAUUCUGGUUAGCCAUCAUGUUGCACACACAGACCUGGAAGGGUCAGGGAGUUGCCCAUGGCAACUCUUGGCCACCAAGGGAAAGGACUAGCUCGAUAGCACACUCUUGCCUUGCGUUUCCCUAUUUUUCUUCUCUUAGUUGUUCAUACCUUGUUUCACAUCCCCAUAUAAGCCAUCUGUACCCAAGUCCUUGUUUCAUCUUCCAUUUCAGGAAAUACCAGGUUAAUACAGAAACGCAAACUACAACAAAUAAACAUUCACAUUUUAAAGUCAGGCAACAAAACUUUAUGCCUUUCAGAGCAUAAUGCUUUCUGACUUCAAAAUAUAAGACUUCAUGCUUGGCCCUUCUUUAUUAAGAACUUACUUAAAUCAGCAUAUCUUUGCAUGGGACUUCAAAUCCUUUCAUUUAAGGCAAGUUUUACAGCCAAUAUUAACGUUGGUGUACCAGUACCCUGUUCUUAAACUGGCUAAAGCAGCCUCAAAAUUCCCAAAGGGAAUAAUGAAAAUUCCUAACAUCCUUGGCAGGAAAACAGUUGGAAGUUUAAAUCAAGCUAAUUGUUUUGGCUAAUAUGUUUUUAAUAAAAUAAAUAUUAAAUUAAUAAUAAAAAAGAUUUCAAGCUAUUUACAAAGAGAAAGGAAGGGAGGGGUUGCAGAAUGCCCAACUAUAAGAAAUGUUGCUUGGAAACUACUCAAGAAGAUGCAUUUUUGAGAGCCAGGAACUCUGCUCUCCUUCAUUCUGCAAGAAAGGGAUAAUGCUUCUAUUCAAGACUUCUCUGAAAAGCCUCCAACCGUCAGGGGGCUGUGGACAAAAUAUAUUUUUAGUUUUAGCUUGCAUACUGAAAUAGUUUUUAAUUUUUUCAAAUUUUGAAGUGAUUUUUAAAUAGCUUAAGAGCUUGCAGUUAUUGUUAACAUUUAAAGGUGCUAUAUUCCAGGUAUUGGGCUAUGAGCUUUAUAAGUAUUAUUUAAUUUAGUUUGCUUUUCACAGCAACUCUAAGAGGUAGGCAUUGUUAUUAUCUCUGGCUCAUAGAUGGAGACACUGGACUUCACAGAGUUAAACAUAAGUUGCCCUGACCCAUACAGCUGUUAAGUAGAGAGGCUGAAGAUGGAAUGAAAGCCAGGUCUGGCAACUACAAAGCUCAGGCCCUUGAAUUCUAACCUUAACCACUUGCAAUUUAAAAUGUCUGAAAGAAGAAAUAUAAACUAAUUUUAAAAUACGUGAUGAGAAAAUUUUCCUGUUGCUGAAGGAAAACCUGGUAUGUGGAUUGAAGUAGUUCACAUUCUAUAAGAAGCAACAUAAGGAACAGGCACCAACACCUAGGCAUAACCUGGAGAUGUAAGACGUGUAAGGACAAAGGUGGGACACCCAGAUUGCUUAAAAGGAAAAGCACUCGGGCUAGGUCUAAUAUCUGUCAGUUCCUGUGGGCCUUAGUUCCUGCUAUUUUCUCUUCCUGUAACUCUCCCUCCUGUCACAUGCCACCUGAUUCUCUUGGCUUGAUGAACUCUUGUUCAUUUUCCCAAAAUUCCAAGGGGAUCUUCCUGAUUCCAUAUACCAGUUAAGUGUCUUCUGUGCAUUUUUCUGUAUCACCCUCUACUAACCCUCUGCUGGCACUCACCACUGCAUAAUGUCUAUUUAAUUUAAUUAUUCUUACUAUUAAAAUGUGCACAUUUUGAAGGCAAA
rnacentral:lncRNA from 1 species